rnacentral:lncRNA from 1 species
UGGGCUGUGGCUAUUUGAAAAUCAGAGCAUCUUUUAAAAGGGAGACGGCAUCUGAACCUUGCCGAGUAGGAAUGUUCCAGAAGUAAGAGAGAUGACUAGGGUUUCAAGAACAAGGACCAGCACCUAUGAAGGCUCUGAGGCACAGACCACUGUGACCUGUGGAGAAGUGGCUCCCACAGUUUCCCAGAACUGCCCCCUUGGUCAGAGUCACGGUUCUCCUCUGGAAGAGAAGCUCAAGGGCAGACCCUCGGCAGGAAGCAGACCAGCAUUUUCUGGAACUUCCCCGGUCGCUCUUCAGACCCCUCACUGAGGGAUUUAAUGGGAGGACUCACACGGCCUGAACAAGCCAAGUGAAGCACUUGUCUGCUAUUCUGUUCCCUUUGUGAGACUCAGAGUACCUGCCAUACCCAUAGUCAAAUUUAAAUAAAUAUUUAACAAAAGGGGUUAUUUUCUACACCAUGAGAAAAAGAGG